GAGUUUGAUCCUGGCUCAGGACGAACGCUGGCGGCGUGCUUAACACAUGCAAGUCGAACGGAAAGGCCCCUUCGGGGGUACUCGAGUGGCGAACGGGUGAGUAACACGUGGGUGAUCUGCCCUGCACUUUGGGAUAAGCCUGGGAAACUGGGUCUAAUACCGAAUAGGACCGCAUGCUUCAUGGUGUGUGGUGGAAAGCUUUUGCGGUGUGGGAUGGGCCCGCGGCCUAUCAGCUUGUUGGUGGGGUAAUGGCCUACCAAGGCGACGACGGGUAGCCGGCCUGAGAGGGUGUCCGGCCACACUGGGACUGAGAUACGGCCCAGACUCCUACGGGAGGCAGCAGUGGGGAAUAUUGCACAAUGGGCGCAAGCCUGAUGCAGCGACGCCGCGUGGGGGAUGACGGCCUUCGGGUUGUAAACCUCUUUCAGUAUCGGCGAAGCUCCAGGAUUUUUCUUGGGGUGACGGUAGGUACAGAAGAAGCACCGGCCAACUACGUGCCAGCAGCCGCGGUAAUACGUAGGGUGCGAGCGUUGUCCGGAAUUACUGGGCGUAAAGAGCUCGUAGGUGGUUUGUCACGUUGUCCGUGAAAACUCACAGCUUAACUGUGGGCGUGCGGGCGAUACGGGCAGACUGGAGUACUGUAGGGGAGACUGGAAUUCCUGGUGUAGCGGUGGAAUGCGCAGAUAUCAGGAGGAACACCGGUGGCGAAGGCGGGUCUCUGGGCAGUAACUGACGCUGAGGAGCGAAAGCGUGGGGAGCGAACAGGAUUAGAUACCCUGGUAGUC
rnacentral:rRNA from 1 species